rnacentral:rRNA from 1 species
CGGGAAGAGCUCAAAUUUGAAAUCUGGCGUCCUCAGGGCGUCCGAGUUGUAAUCUAUAGGAACGUUUUCCGUGCCGGCUCAUGUACAAGUCCCUUGGAACAGGGCGUCAUAGAGGGUGAGAAUCCCGUACUUGACAUGAACUACCGGUGCUCUGUGAUAC